GACGAACGCUGGCGGCGUGCUUAACGCAUGCAAGUCGAACGGAAAGGCCCUGCUUUUGUGGGGUGCUCGAGUGGCGAACGGGUGAGUAACACGUGAGUAACCUGCCCUUGACUUUGGGAUAACUUCAGGAAACUGGGGCUAAUACCGGAUAGGAGCUCCUGCUGCAUGGUGGGGGUUGGAAAGUUUCGGCGGUUGUGGAUGGACUCGCGGCUUAUCAGCUUGUUGGUGGGGUAGUGGCUUACCAAGGCUUUGACGGGUAGCCGGCCUGAGAGGGUGACCGGCCACAUUGGGACUGCGAGACGGACCAGACUCCUACGGGAGGCAGCAGUGGGGAAUAUUGCACAAUGGGCGGAAGCCUGAGACAGCGACGCCGGGUGCGGGAUGACGUCCUUCGGGGUGUGAACCGCUUUCGCCUGUGACGAAGCGUGAGUGACGGUAAUGGGUAAAGAAGCACCGGCUAACUACGUG
rnacentral:rRNA from 1 species